rnacentral:rRNA from 1 species
UACGUAGGGGGGCAAGCGUUGUCCGGAUUUAUUGGGCGUAAAGAGCGUGUAGGCGGCCACACAGGUCAGCUGUGAAAACUCGAGGCUCAACCUCGAGACGUCGGUUGAAACCGUAUGGCUAGAGUCCGGAAGAGGAGAGUGGAAUUCCCGGUGUAGCGGUGAAAUGCGCAGAUAUCGGGAAGAACACCCGUGGCGAAGGCGGCUCUCUGGGACGGUACUGACGCUGAGACGCGAAAAGCGUGGGGGAGCGAACAGG